UGAGGAAUAUUGGUCAAUGGACGAGAGUCUGAACCAGCCAAGUAGCGUGCAGGAUGACGGCCCUAUGGGUUGUAAACUGCUUUUGUUUGGGAAUAAUCGACAUUACGUGUAAUGUUUUGCAUGUACCAUUCGAAUAAGGACCGGCUAAUUCCGUGCCAGCAGCCGCGGUAAUACGGAAGGUCCGGGCGUUAUCCGGAUUUAUUGGGUUUAAAGGGAGCGUAGGCUGUCUAUUAAGCGUGUUGUGAAAUUUACCGGCUCAACCGGUGGCUUGCAGCGCGAACUGGUCGACUUGAGUAUGCAGGAAGUAGGCGGAAUUCAUGGUGUAGCGGUGAAAUGCUUAGAUAUCAUGACGAACUCCGAUUGCGCAGGCAGCUUACUGUAGCAUAACUGACGCUGAUGCUCGAAAGUGCUGGUAUCAAACAGG
rnacentral:rRNA from 1 species